rnacentral:rRNA from 1 species
UACGGGGGGGGCAAGCGUUGUUCGGAAUUACUGGGCGUAAAGGGCUCGUAGGCGGCCAACUAAGUCAGACGUGAAAUCCCUCGGCUUAACCGGGGAACUGCGUCUGAUACUGGACGGCUUGAGUUUGGGAGAGGGAUGCGGAAUUCCAGGUGUAGCGGUGAAAUGCGUAGAUAUCUGGAGGAACACCGGUGGCGAAGGCGGCAUCCUGGACCAACACUGACGCUGAGGAGCGAAAGCCAGGGGAGCAAACGGG